rnacentral:rRNA from 2 species
AAAUUGAAGAGUUUGAUCAUGGCUCAGAUUGAACGCUGGCGGCAGGCCUAACACAUGCAAGUCGAACGGUAACAGGAAACAGCUUGCUGUUUCGCUGACGAGUGGCGGACGGGUGAGUAAUGUCUGGGAAACUGCCUGAUGGAGGGGGAUAACUACUGGAAACGGUAGCUAAUACCGCAUAACGUCGCAAGACCAAAGAGGGGGACCUUCGGG